CAGUCGCCGCGGUAAUACAGAGGGUGCGAGCGUUAAUCGGAUUUACUGGGCGUAAAGCGUGCGUAGGCGGCUUUUUAAGUCGGAUGUGAAAUCCCUGAGCUUAACUUAGGAAUUGCAUUCGAUACUGGGAAGCUAGAGUAUGGGAGAGGAUGGUAGAAUUCCAGGUGUAGCGGUGAAAUGCGUAGAGAUCUGGAGGAAUACCGAUGGCGAAGGCAGCCAUCUGGCCUAAUACUGACGCUGAGGUACGAAAGCAUGGGGAGCAAACAGGAUUAGAUACCCGAGUAGUCCCUGUCUCUUAUAU
rnacentral:rRNA from 1 species